UCCUGGUUACCUCACUUGGUAGAGCGCUCCACCUGUAAUGGAGAGGUCCCGGGUUCGAUACCCGAACCAGGCG
rnacentral:tRNA from 2 species